rnacentral:rRNA from 1 species
CCUACGGGAGGCAGCAGUGGGGAAUAUUGCGCAAUGGGCGAAAGCCUGACGCAGCGACGCCGCGUGAGGGAUGAAGGUCUUCGGAUCGGAAACCUCUGUCAGCAGGGAAGAACGGGCACUGUGCUAAUCAGCAGUGAAUUGACGGUACCUGCAAAGGAAGCACCGGCUAACUCCGUGCCAGCAGCCGCGGUAAUACGGGGGGUGCGAGCGUUAAUCGGAAUUACUGGGCGUAAAGCGCUCGUAGGCGGUAUGUCAAGUCAAGGGUGAAAUCCCCGCGCUCAACGUGGGUACUGCCUUUGAAACUGGCGAACUGGAGUGGGCGAGAGGAUAGUGGAAUUCCAGGUGUAGGGGUGAAAUCCGUAGAUAUCUGGAGGAACAUCAGUGGCGAAGGCGACUAUCUGGCACAUAACUGACGCUGAGGAGCGAAAGCGUGGGUAGCAAACAGGAUUAGAUACCCGAGUAGUC